AUUGAACGCUGGCGGCAUGCCUUACACAUGCAAGUCGGUCGGUAACGCGGGGCAACCUGGCGACGAGUGGCGAACGGGUGAGUAAUGCAUCGGAACGUGCCUGGUAGUGGGGGAUAACUGCUCGAAAGAGCAGCUAAUACCGCAUACGACCUGAGGGUGAAAGGGGGGGAUCGCAAGACCUCUCGCUAUCAGAGCGGCCGAUGUCGGAUUAGCUAGUUGGUGGGGUAAAGGCCUACCAAGGCGACGAUCCGUAGCGGGUCUGAGAGGAUGAUCCGCCACACUGGAACUGAGACAAGGUCCAGACUCCUACGGGAGGCAGCAGUGGGGAAUUUUGGACAAUGGGGGCAACCCUGAUCCAGCCAUGCCGCGUGAGUGAAGAAGGCCUUCGGGUUGUAAAGCUCUUUCGGCCGGGAAGAAAUCGCAUGGGCUAAUACCCUGUGUGGAUGACGGUACCGGAAUAAGAAGCACCGGCUAACUACGUGCCAGCCGCCGCCGUAA
rnacentral:rRNA from 1 species